UACGAAGGGGGCUAGCGUUGUUCGGAAUUACUGGGCGUAAAGGGCGCGUAGGCUGUGCUGUAAGUCAGGCGUGAAAUCCCCGGGCUCAACCUGGGAACUGCGCUUGGGACUGGUUUGCUAGAGAUCGGGAGAGGAGAGUGGAAUUCCCAGUGUAGAGGUGAAAUUCGUAGAUAUUGGGAAGAACACCGGUGGCGAAGGCGGCUCUCUGGACCGAUACUGACGCUGAGGCGCGAAAGCGUGGGGAGCAAACAGG
rnacentral:rRNA from 1 species